rnacentral:misc_RNA from 1 species
GAUGAAUAACGUAGCGAAAUGCGAUAAGUAGUGUGAAUUGCUGAAUUCAGUGAAUCAUCGAAUCUUUGAACGCACAUUGCGCCCCUUGGUAUCCCGAGGGGCAUGCCUGUUCGAGCGUCAUUUCACCACUCAAGCCUGGCUUGGUGUUGGGCGACGUCCUCUUUGGGGACGCGCCUCGAAACGCUCGGCGGCGUGGCACCGGCUUUAAGCGUAGCAGAAUCUUUCGCUUUGGAAGUCGGGGCCCCGUCUGCCGGAAGACCUGCUCGCAAGGUUGACCUCGGAUCAGGCAGGGAUACCCGCUGAACUUAAGCAUAUCAAUAAGCGGAGGA